rnacentral:rRNA from 1 species
CAAUAGCGUAUAUUAAAGUUGUUGCGGUAAAAAGCUCGUAGUUGGAUUUCUGUUGAGGGUGACCGGUCCGUACCAUGUACGCGCAUCUGGAUCGACCUCGGCAUCCUCUCGUCAUACGUUUCUGCGCUUGAUUGCGUGGAGCGGAAUGCGGGACUUUUACUUUGAGGAAAUUAGAGUGUUCACAGCAGGCAAUCGCCAGAAUACAUUAGCAUGGAAUAAUACUAUAGGAUCUUGUUUCUAUUUUGUUGGUUUCUAGGGGCAGGAUAAUGAUUAAUAGGGACAAUUGGGGGCAUUCGUAUCAACACGUCAGAGGUGGAAUUCUUGGAUUGUGUUGCGACGAACUACUGCGAAAGCAUUUGCCAAGGAUGUUUUCAUUGAUCAAGAACGAAAGUAAGGGGAUCGAAGACGAUCAGAU